AGAAGUUUUUGUCCAGUCUGGGGUAAUACAGGGGUGAGUCCUCAACAAUUGACCCCCGGUGGUCUGGUGGGUCUUGUUCAUUUAUAAUACUGGUUCAAGGGAAGUCCAGAGAGGCUGUUCCUCUACAACAGCAUUAACUUCAUACGGAUGGAAAUGGCGAGGAGACUGAUGGAUGAUUCUGUAAACCCACAAUCUAUCAGUCCUGUCACCCAACUGCCUGCCCCCCCCCACUCCUAAACCUCCAACAUUCACUCAGAGUCACACUCCCCAGCCCAGAGUUUCCACCACCCCCAGUCUCAUUCAAACCCAGCCAGAAGCUACAUUCACCCGAUGCCCCACUACUGAAACAGACAUUUUACCACAGUCAUCCUCUUCAGGCCGGCUUGCUCCCAUUUACAUCCUCACAGCCAGAAUGCCACGAAUCCCAGACAGCAAAUGGAUGAAAUAUUUAGUGGCUCCGGGGUGGGGAGUGAAACCACCAGGCACCAUCAUUUCCACACCAGUCUUUCCAAGUCAAACUCUAUCUGAACUCAUCAACUCCUGAACAGCGUGACACAGACAACCAACAGACAACACAUCCUUCUGCCAAAAAAAAAGCCAAAACUAAAUCAUCAUUUCAGGACACUGACGAGUCCCAUGCUGAGUGGAGGACAGCUGCUCUGGAAUCACUUGUGAGGCCAGAAUUGGCAAGGUGGAGGAGACUGAAGGAGAGAAGAAGAGAAUAUGCGAAAAAAAAAAGAUCUCAUGUAUGGGAUAAGUACUUACCCAAUUAAAAGAUAUUGGAAAGCAGCAGGAACAAAUAAUUGACUUAAAAGA